CGAAAGCCUGACGGAGCAAGACCGCGUGCGGGAAGACGGCCUGUGGGUUGUAAACCGCUUUUGACAGGGAAGAAUAUGUGACGGUACCUGUCGAAUCAGCCUCGGCUAACUCCGUGCCAGCAGCCGCGGUAAUACGGAGGAGGCAAGCGUUAUCCGGAAUUAUUGGGCGUAAAGCGUCCGCAGGUGGUUUAUCAAGUCAGCUGUUAAAGCGUGGGGCUUAACUCCAUAAAGGCAGUUGAAACUGAUAGGCUAGAGUGCGAUAGGGGCAAGGGGAAUUCCCAGUGUAGCGGUGAAAUGCGUAGAUAUUGGGAAGAACACCGGUGGCGAAAGCGCCUUGCUGGGUCUGCACUGACACUGAGGGACGAAAGCUAGGGGAGCG
rnacentral:rRNA from 1 species